GGGGAUGUAGCUCAGUGGUAGAGCACUUGUCUAGCAUGCAGAAGGCCCUGGGUUCAAUCCCUGGCACCACAA
rnacentral:tRNA from 1 species